rnacentral:lncRNA from 1 species
UAUACAACCAGCAUUACAGCACAAGAGUGGUCUUCCAGCAGUGAUACAACCUGAAUGUGAGCUGUGUGAUGGAGCGAGGCUGCACGGCAGUCCUCACCCGUUCCUACAGUAGGCUUCCAAAUGCAAGUUGAAAAUAAAGCAUCAGGACAGUGGUUUCACCCAAGUCCGGUUCACAGGUCUAUCUACCAUCUGGAGCAAUUAUAAGGUGAACAGAAAGCUGGGGAAAUACUGUUCCCAAGGAAAGGGUGUCCAGCAGUAGAGGCACCGGUCCAUCCCAGAACCCUCACCCAUACCUCCAGGACAGUGAUGUGCUUCUCCACUAAGUUGCAGAAUUGAAGAGUCUGAGGACCUGAUGUUAAAAUUUUAAGAUAGGUAUCUCUCAGGGUCCAUCAUGUUUCUGGCAGUAUAACAGGACUUUGAACUCCGACCUCUCUUUGGGAUUGUAACAACAGUAUGUCCAGGUUAUACAGAAGUCACUUAAAUGCUUACAAUAAAUGUAUUAAUUAAGAGCCA